rfam:Arenibacter nanhaiticus strain CGMCC 1.8863 genome assembly, contig: Ga0066783_162
GUAACUGCGAGGUUACAUCUGAAGGAAGCGAGACUACAAAACUCGGUACUGACGAACAGGAACCAGAUAUGAGGCUGU